rnacentral:rRNA from 1 species
UUUUAUGAGAGUUUGAUCCUGGCUCAGGACGAACGCUGGCGGCGUGCCUAAUACAUGCAAGUCGAACGCUUCUUUUUCCACCGGAGCUUGCUCCACCGGAAAAAGAGGAGUGGCGAACGGGUGAGUAACACGUGGGUAACCUGCCCAUCAGAAGGGGAUAACACUUGGAAACAGGUGCUAAUACCGUAUAACAAUCGAAACCGCAUGGUUUUGAUUUGAAAGGCGCUUUCGGGUGUCGCUGAUGGAUGGACCCGCGGUGCAUUAGCUAGUUGGUGAGGUAACGGCUCACCAAGGCGACGAUGCAUAGCCGACCUGAGAGGGUGAUCGGCCACAUUGGGACUGAGACACGGCCCAAACUCCUACGGGAGGCAGCAGUAGGGAAUCUUCGGCAAUGGACGAAAGUCUGACCGAGCAACGCCGCGUGAGUGAAGAAGGUUUUCGGAUCGUAAAACUCUGUUGUUAGAGAAGAACAAGGAUGAGAGUAACUGUUCAUCCCUUGACGGUAUCUAACCAGAAAGCCACGGCUAACUACGUGCCAGCAGCCGCGGUAAUACGUAGGUGGCAAGCGUUGUCCGGAUUUAUUGGGCGUAAAGCGAGCGCAGGCGGUUUCUUAAGUCUGAUGUGAAAGCCCCCGGCUCAACCGGGGAGGGUCAUUGGAAACUGGGAGACUUGAGUGCAGAAGAGGAGAGUGGAAUUCCAUGUGUAGCGGUGAAAUGCGUAGAUAUAUGGAGGAACACCAGUGGCGAAGGCGGCUCUCUGGUCUGUAACUGACGCUGAGGCUCGAAAGCGUGGGGAGCAAACAGGAUUAGAUACCCUGGUAGUCCACGCCGUAAACGAUGAGUGCUAAGUGUUGGAGGGUUUCCGCCCUUCAGUGCUGCAGCUAACGCAUUAAGCACUCCGCCUGGGGAGUACGACCGCAAGGUUGAAACUCAAAGGAAUUGACGGGGGCCCGCACAAGCGGUGGAGCAUGUGGUUUAAUUCGAAGCAACGCGAAGAACCUUACCAGGUCUUGACAUCCUUUGACCACUCUAGAGAUAGAGCUUCCCCUUCGGGGGCAAAGUGACAGGUGGUGCAUGGUUGUCGUCAGCUCGUGUCGUGAGAUGUUGGGUUAAGUCCCGCAACGAGCGCAACCCUUAUUGUUAGUUGCCAUCAUUUAGUUGGGCACUCUAGCAAGACUGCCGGUGAUAAACCGGAGGAAGGUGGGGAUGACGUCAAAUCAUCAUGCCCCUUAUGACCUGGGCUACACACGUGCUACAAUGGGAAGUACAACGAGUCGCAAAGUCGCGAGGCUAAGCUAAUCUCUUAAAGCUUCUCUCAGUUCGGAUUGUAGGCUGCAACUCGCCUACAUGAAGCCGGAAUCGCUAGUAAUCGCGGAUCAGCACGCCGCGGUGAAUACGUUCCCGGGCCUUGUACACACCGCCCGUCACACCACGAGAGUUUGUAACACCCGAAGUCGGUGAGGUAACCUUUUGGAGCCAGCCGCCUAAGGUGGGAUAGAUGAUUGGGGUGAAGUCGUAACAAGGUAGCCGUAUCGGAAGGUGCGGCUGGAUCACCUCCUUU